rnacentral:lncRNA from 1 species
GCGGUUUUUUGUUUUUUGUUUUUCAUUCUGAGCCCAGGGACCAGGAAGUGGCAGAGACUGUGGGAGUCAGUGGGCCAGCGUUCCCCCUGGGUAGGCGUAUGAAAACUGCAAACACCGUUGCAUCAGGAGACCUUUCAGGAAGACCUGCCUUUGCUUUUUCCUCUGCUGCUAAUUUGAAGCAAGAGUCCUCUGCUCCCAGAAUCAGGCUGCACUCAGAACCAUUGUUGGAGUAGUCUGGAAACUGUUGCUGAGGAAGUCUGGAAAUUGUGGCUGACCCAUUGUCCUUGCCUCCUACCAGCUGGUGGUGCAGCUUCUGAUGGUAGGGCAGUUUCUGACUGGCUGCCUGAGGUCUGGAGUUUUUUCAGUAACUGAAUUGCCCAGUUCUUGGAAACAGAGAUAUAGGCCUAGUCUCCUGAACUGCCAGUUUGAAGCCUGUUCUGGAUUCAGCCUGUCUCAGAGGAAAAUGAAGAAGGACACUUUCUGGAAGUUAUAUAUCACAUCUGCAGACAUCCCAAAAGCCAGACUCCAUUUACAUCUGGUUAAAGAAUGAUUACAGUGUUUAAAAGAUUGCUUCAAAUCCAUGCCUUCAAGAGGAUCACUAAUAAUGCAGAAUUUAAAUAUUAAAGAGGAGCAGACUAAAUUGUAUCUGAAAUACAGUUAUCAAUGAUGACAGCUUAGAAGCGAAGAGAAACUCUCAGUGAUGGAGACUGAGCGUGCACUGCUGCUGUUGGUCUAGGCAGCUUCUCUCUGUCAGAACUGUAUUCUAGCAGGGAUAUUUCUAUUUGAGAUGCGGUGUCUUCUUGUUCAGAGGUUAGGGUAGAUUGACCUUUGAGUAACAGGGGUCUUGAAAAUUUUUUGUUUGCCAAAGUUGUUUUAAUGAGGAGGAAGAAAAAAAUUUCUCUCUGCUUUAUCACAGAGGUAUGUUGCAGUAGGCACGUGUUGAAUGAUGUUCCUGUAAAUGUUUAAGCUUUUUUGUCCUAGGCUUACUUUGUAUUGAGGUACCCUGGUGAUGCUACUUCAGGGUGCUUCAGAUUUUCUUCAUUUUAAGUCUGGAAAGCACUUGAAGUCACAGAGUAAUAUAUAAAGCCUUGCACACAGCAGACAAGGAGAUGCAGGCCUUUAAUCCCAGCACUGUGGGAGUGUGGGGGGCAGGGUACAGAGGUAGGUGGCUGCCUCAGUCAGGAUUUCUAUUCCUGUACAAACAUCAUGAUGAAGAAGCGGGUUGGGGAGGAAAACAUUUAUUCAGCUUAUACUUCCCACAUUGCUGUUCAUCACCAAAAGUCAGGGCUGUAAUUCAAGUAUGUCAGGAAGCACAAACUGAUGCACAGGCCAUGGAGGGAUGUUGCUUACUGGUUUGCUUCCUCUGCCUUGCUCAGCUUGCUUUCUUAUAGAACCUAUGACUACCAGCCCAGGGAUGGCACCACCCACAACGGGCCCUCUCCACUUGAUCACUAAUUGAGAAAAUGCCUUAUAGCUGGAUCUCAUGGAGGCAUUUCCUCAACUGAGGCUCCUUUCUCUGUGAUAACUCCAGCUAUCCAAGCACUUGAUGGGUGGAGAUAGGAGGUUUGGGAAUUCAAGAUCAUUCUCUGCUACAUAUCAAGGUUGAGGACCACUUGCAUUAUACAACAUCUUGCUUCAAAAAAAUUAGAGAAAGGGAAAGAUAUGGGAUAGGGGAGGGAGAGAGCGCUACAGUAAAAGAGAGAGUAUGCAAAUGGCAUUGGCUCAUGUACUAAAAUUAUUAAAGUGCCACAGUCAGUACAUAUUAUUUAGUUAUAUAUAGAAGGUAUAAAGAACCAAGAAGAUAUUAUUAGUAUUUGUUUAGGUCUUUUUGUUUUUGUUUGUUUUCUAAAAUAUUACCUCUCUUUGUGUCAUAGUUACGGAUUUACUGCUGUGAACAGACGCCAUGACCAAGGCAAGUCUUAUAAAUAACAACUUUUAAGUGGGGCUGACUUACAGGUUCAGAGGUUCAGUCCAUCAUCCAGGCAGUCAUGGUGCAGGAGAAACUCAGAGUUCUACAUCUUCAUCUGAAGGCUGCUAGCAGAAUACUGGUUUCCAGGCAGCCCAGGGUCUUAAAGCCAAUGCCCACAGUGACACACCUACUCCAACAGGGCCACACCUCCCAGAAGUGCCACUUCCUGAACCAAACAUAUGCAAACCAUAACACUCUCUUUCAAAGGAAAAUGGCUUCUGCCCUGUUCAGUGUUGCUCACAUCAGUAGGCAGUCUCACCAAACUAGAAACUCCAGGACAACCUUGACUACUCAUUGCCCCUACCUUAUGUGUGAUAGUUGCUUUUAUGAUUCAACUUGAUUGCACCAUAGGAUGCUCAGAUCACUCUGGACAAGUACCCUUCUGCCGGGUUUCUGUUUCUACACAAUGUUAACAUUUCAAUAAGUGAAGCUGAAUGAAGUAGAUGUUUUUUUUUCCAAUAUAAGUGCACAUUAAUCCAUCACCAGAAGGCUUGAAUGGAAUUAAAACCCAGCCUCCUGUGACCAAGGGUAUACUCUUGGAGACUGCCUUCAGACUUCAAUGGAACACCAGAUUUCUGGGUCUCUACCAGCUACCCAGUAAAAGUUUGGGACUUGUUAAUCUCUAUAGUGAAGGAGGUCAUUUCUUAGACCAUAUUUUACUUACAUACUCCACCUCCCCAGACCACUUUGGUUCCCGCUUUUGAUAUACUAAUAUAUCAUAUUAAUUCAUCAAUGAGUAUGUUUUAUUCUGAUUCCAAAAUAUAUCCAACAGUCAUCUAUUUUGUUCUGUUUCUACUGCCAUUAAAUUCUAAAAGUCACAAAUCUCUAAAUGAUGGUAAUAGCCUCUGCUACAACGAAAUAUGAAAGGUUUGACAAAGCUAUCAGUGUUAAAAAUUUGGUUUCCAGAUUGUUGCUAGUGGGAUAUGAUGAAAGACUUGGGAGCCAGUAGACAUGACACAUGGUUAGGAGGAGGCUGGUGUUUCUCCUCACUGUGAAGCAAGGACUGAUUUUGCACUCUUUCCUAUGAGCACCGGUCUCAGCACAAGGUUAUAGGCAAUGAGGCCAUCCAUGGACAGAAAUCUCAGAAACUGUGAAACAAAAUAAACAUUGUUUAUCAUAACAUAAUCAUCUCUAU